CCAUAGAACAAGGGGCAAAGAAAAAUGUUCUCUACAUAUAUGGGCAGUCGGAAGAGGCGGGAAAAUGGUAAAAACCCUAGUUCGGAUUGAGCAUCGGUCGUUCUUCUCGUUAAUUUCUACUUGAUUUUUCCACCAAUCCACGCAAAUGGGGAUAAAGGGUUUAACGAAGCUUCUAGCGGACAAUGCCCCGAAGGCCAUGAAAGAGCAGAAAUUCGAGAGUUAUUUUGGUCGGAAAAUCGCCAUCGAUGCUAGCAUGAGCAUCUACCAGUUUCUGAUUGUCGUCGGAAGAAGUGGGACAGAAAUGCUGACCAAUGAGGCUGGUGAUGUGACUAGCCAUUUGCAAGGAAUGUUCAAUCGGACUAUUAGGCUUCUGGAAUCUGGAUUGAAGCCAGUCUAUGUUUUUGAUGGGGCACCUCCCGAUUUGAAGAAACAAGAACUUGCAAAAAGAUACUCAAGGCGAGAAGAUGCAACAGCAGAGUUAGAUGAGGCUAUUAAGUCUGGCAAUAAGGAAGACAUUGAGAAAUUUAGUAAACGUACUGUGAAGGUAACAAGACAACACAAUGAGGAUUGCAAAAAACUUCUAAGGCUUAUGGGAGUGCCUGUUAUUGAGGCCCCAUCUGAAGCAGAGGCACAAUGUGCUGCUCUUUGCAAAGCUGAUAAGGUGUAUGCUGUUGCCUCUGAAGAUAUGGAUUCUCUUACUUUUGGAGCACCAAAAUUUCUUAGACAUUUAAUGGAUCCUGCUUCAAGAAAAAUUCCCGUGAUGGAAUUUGAUGUUUCCAAGGUUUUAGAGGAACUGAACCUUACAAUGGAUCAAUUUAUUGAUCUCUGUAUCCUAUGUGGAUGUGAUUAUUGUGACAGUAUUAGAGGUAUUGGUGGGCAGACAGCUUUGAAGCUCAUUCGUCAACAUGGGUCAAUAGAAACUAUCCUUGAAAAUAUAAACAAAGAGAGAUAUCAAAUACCUGAGAAUUGGCCAUAUCAGGAGGCUAGACGCCUUUUCAAAGAGCCUUUGGUUUGUGUUGAUGAUGAACAGCUUGAACUUAAAUGGACUUCUCCAGAUGAAGAAGGCUUGUUAAACUUCUUGGUGACUGAAAAUGGGUUCAACAGUGACAGAGUCACAAAGGCAGUGGAGAAAAUAAAAGCUUCCAAGAACAAAUCGUCACAAAAUCGAUUAGAAUCAUUCUUUAAACCAGUUGUUAGCACUUCUGUUCCCAUUAAAAGAAAGGGAACUAAAUGCAUUCUUGGAUCUUCAAAACAAGUAACCAAGACUAAGAUAUUAACUGGAACGAUCAUAAGCAGCUUUAGUCCUCCAACUUUAAGUCUGUGUUCCAAACACCCCCUGAUGUUAUCCAAAGGUGUAUGCUUUGGCACAUGAAGCCAAAAUGGAAACGAAUGAAAAAGCUGCAAAAGAACCAGCCAACAAAAAAGCAAAGGGUGGAGCUGGUAGAAAAAAGAAAUAGGUGCUUGAUUCUGUUGUAUGACUGAUGCCUCCCUCCAACUUUAAUGAUUUUUUUUUAAAUAUUUUGUUUUGUAAUAUUAAGAAGUUUCUAGUUUCUGAUGAUAAGUUCGCUCUAAAAUCGAGGUAUCAUGUUAUCUUUUACUGAAACGACUGUUUUUUUUACAUCACUAAUAUUGACGUCUGUGUAGGAAGUAAA